rnacentral:rRNA from 1 species
UACGUAGGAGGCGAGCGUUGUCCGGAAUCACUGGGCGUAAAGCGCGUGUAGGCGGUCGGGCCAGUCUGCUGUGAAAGCGCCCCGCUUAACGGGGCGAGGUCGGCGGAAACUGCCUGACUGGAGGACGGUAGAGGGGGGUGGAAUUCCCGGUGUAGUGGUGAAAUGCGUAGAGAUCGGGAGGAACACCUGUGGCGAAGGCGGCCCCCUGGGCCGCUCCUGACGCUGAGACGCGAAGGCGCGGGGAGCGAACGGG